GGGUUGUGAGGUUAAGCGACUAAGCGUACACGGUGGAUGCCUAGGCAGUCAGAGGCGAUGAAGGGCGUGCUAAUCUGCGAUAAGCGUCGGUAAGCUGAUAUGAAGCGUUAUACCCGACGAUACCCGAAUGGGGAAACCCAGUGUGUUUCGACACACUAUCAUUACGUGAAUACAUAGCGUAAUGAGGCGAACCGGGGGAACUGAAACAUCUCAGUACCCCGAGGAAAAGAAAUCAACCGAGAUUCCCCUAGUAGCGGCGAGCGAACGGGGAGGAGCCCAGAACCUGAAUCAGUUUGUGUGUUAGUGGAAGCGUCUGGAAAGUCGCACAGUAAAGGGUGAUAGUCCCGUACACAAAAAUGCACAGAUUGUGAGUUCGAUGAGUAGGGCGGGACACGUGACAUCCUGUCUGAAUAUGGGGGGACCAUCCUCCAAGGCUAAAUACUCCUGACUGACCGAUAGUGAACCAGUACCGUGAGGGAAAGGCGAAAAGAACCCCGGCGAGGGGAGUGAAAUAGAACCUGAAACCGUGUACGUACAAGCAGUGGGAGCCUUGAUUAAUCAGGGUGACUGCGUACCUUUUGUAUAAUGGGUCAGCGACUUAUAUUCUGUAGCAAGGUUAACCGUAUAGGGGAGCCGCAGGGAAACCGAGUCUUAACUGGGCGUUAAGUUGCAGGGUAUAGACCCGAAACCCGGUGAUCUAGCCAUGGGCAGGUUGAAGGUUGGGUAACACUAACUGGAGGACCGAACCGACUAAUGUUGAAAAAUUAGCGGAUGACUUGUGGCUGGGGGUGAAAGGCCAAUCAAACCGGGAGAUAGCUGGUUCUCCCCGAAAGCUAUUUAGGUAGCGCCUCGUGAAUUCAUCUUCGGGGGUAGAGCACUGUUUCGGCUAGGGGGUCAUCCCGACUUACCAACCCGAUGCAAACUACGAAUACCGAAGAAUGUUAUCACGGGAGACACACGGCGGGUGCUAACGUUCGUCGUGAAGAGGGAAACAACCCAGACCGCCAGCUAAGGUCCCAAAGUCAUGGUUAAGUGGGAAACGAUGUGGGAAGGCACAGACAGCCAGGAUGUUGGCUUAGAAGCAGCCAUCAUUUAAAGAAAGCGUAAUAGCUCACUGGUCGAGUCGGCCUGCGCGGAAGAUGUAACGGGGCUAAACCAUGCACCGAAGCUGCGGCAGCGACACUUAGGUGUUGUUGGGUAGGGGAGCGUUCUGUAAGCCGUCGAAGGUGGCCUGUGAGGGUUGCUGGAGGUAUCAGAAGUGCGAAUGCUGACAUAAGUAACGAUAAUGCGGGUGAAAAACCCGCACGCCGGAAGACCAAGGGUUCCUGUCCAACGUUAAUCGGGGCAGGGUGAGUCGACCCCUAAGGCGAGGCUGAAAAGCGUAGUCGAUGGGAAACAGGUUAAUAUUCCUGUACUCGGUGUUACUGCGAAGGGGGGACGGAGAAAGCUAGGUUAUCCGGGCGACGGUUGUCCCGGUUUAAGCGUGAAGGUGGAUGACUUUGGUAAAUCCGGGUCGUCAUUAACACUGAGGCGUGAUGACGAGUCACUACGGUGAUGAAGUAACCAAUGCUACGCUUCCAGGAAAAGCCUCUAAGCUCCAGGUAACAUCAAAUCGUACCCCAAACCGACACAGGUGGUCAGGUAGAGAAUACUCAGGCGCUUGAGAGAACUCGGGUGAAGGAACUAGGCAAAAUGGUGCCGUAACUUCGGGAGAAGGCACGCUGAUGGUAGGUGAAGUGACUUGCUCACGGAGCUGAAAUCAGUCGAAGAUACCAGCUGGCUGCAACUGUUUAAUAAAAACACAGCACUGUGCAAACACGAAAGUGGACGUAUACGGUGUGACGCCUGCCCGGUGCCGGAAGGUUAAUUGAUGGGGUCAGCCGCAAGGCGAAGCUCUUGAUCGAAGCCCCGGUAAACGGCGGCCGUAACUAUAACGGUCCUAAGGUAGCGAAAUUCCUUGUCGGGUAAGUUCCGACCUGCACGAAUGGCGUAAUGAUGGCCAGGCUGUCUCCACCCGAGACUCAGUGAAAUUGAACUCGCUGUGAAGAUGCAGUGUACCCGCGGCAAGACGGAAAGACCCCGUGAACCUUUACUAUAGCUUGACACUGAACCUUGAGCCUUGAUGUGUAGGAUAGGUGGGAGGCUUUGAAGCGUGGACGCCAGUCUGCGUGGAGCCAACCUUGAAAUACCACCCUUUAAUGUUUGAUGUUCUAACGUGGGCCCGUGAUCCGGGUUGCGGACAGUGUCUGGUGGGUAGUUUGACUGGGGCGGUCUCCUCCCAAAGCGUAACGGAGGAGCACGAAGGUUAGCUAAUCCUGGUCGGACAUCAGGAGGUUAGUGCAAAGGCAUAAGCUAGCUUGACUGCGAGAGUGACAGCUCGAGCAGGUGCGAAAGCAGGUCUUAGUGAUCCGGUGGUUCUGAAUGGAAGGGCCAUCGCUCAACGGAUAAAAGGUACUCCGGGGAUAACAGGCUGAUACCGCCCAAGAGUUCAUAUCGACGGCGGUGUUUGGCACCUCGAUGUCGGCUCAUCACAUCCUGGGGCUGAAGUAGGUCCCAAGGGUAUGGCUGUUCGCCAUUUAAAGUGGUACGCGAGCUGGGUUUAGAACGUCGUGAGACAGUUCGGUCCCUAUCUGCCGUGGGCGUUGGAAGAUUGAGAGGGGUUGCUCCUAGUACGAGAGGACCGGAGUGAACGCACCACUGGUGUUCGGGUUGUGAUGCCAAUUGCAUUGCCCGGUAGCUAAGUGCGGAAGAGAUAACCGCUGAAAGCAUCUAAGCGGGAAACUUGCCUCGAGAUGAGUCUUCCCUGGGUACUUGAUACCCCUGAAGGGCCGUUGAAGACUACGACGUAGAUAGGCUGGGUGUGUAAGCGUAGCGAUACGUUGAGCUAACCAGUACUAAUGACCCGAGAGGCUUAACCUUACAACACCGAAGGUGUUU
rnacentral:rRNA from 1 species